rnacentral:lncRNA from 1 species
UUGCCUACACACUUUUCUUUAAUUCUAGCACAUGUUUUUCCCCAAAUUAGUCUGUCAAAUGACUCUGUUAUCCUCAAAGAUGCAAUAAUUAGCACGUUAGGAUGCUUAAAGGGGAGUCUCCUACAAAGGACCAAACAAGUUCCGCUAGGUUUCAAUAUGAUGCAUAUAAGAAUGACCUAAGGGCUGACCUACGCUGGGUUCCACUAGCAAGGCUGUUCGAGGGAGCGUAUGGUCGAUAGUGGCUGCGAU